rnacentral:rRNA from 1 species
AGUGAACGCUGGCGGUAGGCCUAACACAUGCAAGUCGAACGGCAGCACAGUAAGAGCUUGCUCUUACGGGUGGCGAGUGGCGGACGGGUGAGGAAUACAUCGGAAUCUACUUUUUCGUGGGGGAUAACGUAGGGAAACUUACGCUAAUACCGCAUACGACCUACGGGUGAAAGCAGGGGAUCUUCGGACCUUGCGCGAUUGAAUGAGCCGAUGUCGGAUUAGCUAGUUGGCGGGGUAAAGGCCCACCAAGGCGACGAUCCGUAGCUGGUCUGAGAGGAUGAUCACCACACUGGAACUGAGACACGGUCCAGACUCCUACGGGAGGCAGCAGUGGGGAAUAUUGGACAAUGGGCGCAAGCCUGAUCCAGCCAUACCGCGUGGGUGAAGAAGGCCUUCGGGUUGUAAAGCCCUUUUGUUGGGAAAGAAAAGCAGCAGGUUAAUACCCCGCUGUUCUGACGGUACCCAAGGAAUAAGCACCGGCUAACUUCGUG